UUACAUAGGAGACACUUGGCCCUAGGGAUUAGACCCUACAGCCGUAACUUGCAAAAGGCUUGGAAGCUGCAACGUUUUUAAAAAAAUGGAGGAGGCAGGAACGUUACAGAAGGCUCUUCCUCUCGGCAUUUUGAGAAAUUGACUGCUGCAAUUGCAAUGUUAGAGGGAGUCUCGGCAUUUGGUGAUUAGAGAGGAGUCGAGACAGACUUUGUAUUGGGUUGGAACGGAUGAAGCACACGUGACGGUGCUGUUGGGCUAGCACAUGAUUUCAAUUUAUUGAUUUUCUCAUUGCUUUUUUUUUUGCUUCAUGCAUUUCGUUUUAUCGGAACUCCAGCACACGUUACUUUCCCCAAUUCUGCAAUGUUAUUUUAACUCUUUCAAUCAAUUUAUUCCCGGCCC
rnacentral:lncRNA from 1 species